rnacentral:rRNA from 1 species
UUGGAGGGCAAGUCUGGUGCCAGCAGCCGCGGUAAUUCCAGCUCCAAUAGCGUAUAUUAAAGUUGUUGCAGUUAAAAAGCUCGUAGUUGAAUUUCGGGAUCAGCAAGUUGGUCGUGCCUCUGGUACGUACUGGCUUUACUGGUUCCUCCUUCUUGAAGAACUGUAAUGUCAUUAAUUUGGUGUUGCAGGGAAACAGGACUGUUACUUUGGAAAAAUUAGAGUGUUUAAAGCAAGCUAACGCUUGAAUACAUUAGCAUGGAAUAAUGAAAUAGGACGUUUGAUCCUAUUUUGUUGGUUUCUAGGAUUGACGUAAUGAUUAAUAGGGAUAGUUGGGGGCAUUAGUAUUCAAUUGUCAGAGGUGAAAUUCUUGGAUUUAUUGAAGACUAACUACUGCGAAAGCAUUUGCCAAGGAUGUUUUCAUUAAUCAAGAACGAAAGUUAGGGGAUCGAAGACGAUCAGAUACCGUCGUAGUCUUAACCAUAAACUAUGCCGACUAGGGAUCGGAUGAUGUUAAUUUUUUAAUGACUCAUUCGGCGCCUUACGGGAAAC